CAUAUCCUUAGCCUGUAACUCUAUCCCUAUAGGUUUAAAUUGGUUAAAUAAUAAAUUAAGCUUUACAUCCUUAACACUACCAGGCUUUAAUAAACAUUAGCAUUUACUCAUUGCUUUCAUGUGCAAUUGAAAGCCUUAAAUAGUGGCAAUCAGUUUCAUCCCGUCCAGUGCAUCUGGACAGAAAAUAGCAUCUAUAUCUCUGGGUACACUGAUAAGAGAAAUGCUUCUAUAAUCUGUCUAUACCAUUCAAUACCUUAUGUGUGUCCUGCAGGAUAUUAUAUGUUGGGAGCUGGUCUAUAUAUGUAUCUCUCCUUAGCUGUGCUUAACCUAGGGUUAAAGCAGUACUCUAUUUUCUUGAUGUCCCCGUACUGCACUUGCCAUCCUAUGCUUUACGACCUAGCGCACAUUUAAAACGCCACAUUCUCAAUCUUGUCAUAGACGGGACUUGAUCGCACAAUGGUCAUCAUAAUUAUUAGAGAAUGUGUAUGUUUGGCUGAAAAGCUUGCUUAUUCAGUGUGAUCUGUCAAUUAGAAUCUCCAUUCUGUCCCAAAUAGGUAGAGGUUUGAUUGCCAGUUGGUCUGUACUAUUAGGGUGGAAUUGCAACUCAUGGUGGUCAUUUGGGAAAAGGCACUUCAACCUGUCACAACCAAACCCAGGUCAUAUGCAAUAGGCACCAACCGGAAGCAAGCAGGUAGAGACUACAUAAACAUUCUAUCAUUAGGAAUUGCUUGUGUCAAUUUUAUGCUGCAAAGAAUUCCGCUACAGUGUGCCCUAAUCAGCAGGACCCCAGUUAUCUGAAAAGCAGUCAGAAGUUCAGUGUGAGAGAGAUGAAUACUUUGGUUUGUUGAGAGACAUGGGAGAACUUACCGUUUAUACUGGUCAAACAACCACAAGCUAAACGUUGACUGUAUUUGUACACCUUAAAACUGGCACUGUCCAUGGCAUCCUACUAAAGUGAAUGUACCUAUCACUGGAAGGCAAUGCUCUGCUUUCUCUUUGCGUUUUGUUGUUCUUUUUAUAUACAGUGUGUAUAUUGUAUUUAUGAUCAUGCUUAUGAGUGUACAUUGAAAAAAUGCCUGUUAUAAAAAGGAUAUAUUAUCCUGUGUACAACUCCUCAUAUAAUGUUAAUCAUGUUAAAUGUUUUUUACAGGCUGAAAAAGUCUCAUGUUUGUGCUACUGCAAAAGUCCAACUUGAGCAAUUGUAUCUCUUUUUUUGUGUGAGCUACUCUGGACACAGUUGUAUGUAUAAGGUGUAAUUUGUGUAAUAUUUCUUUUAAAAAGAUUGCCAUGUCUACAGCUGUAAAAAUAAAAAAGGAAAAAAAAGAAUUUAUGAUGAAAAAAUGCUUAGUAAAAAAGCAAAACUGGAACCAAACUGGUGUGAAUUGUUAUUAAAUACAAGUAGCUCACUCACAGUAGAAAACAAUGAUGUAUUUGGACAAUGGCCAAUGUUUUGUUUUUUUGGGCUCUGCAAUUCCAGCAUGUAUAGAAUGACAGUAGAUUUAAAU
ensembl:lncRNA